GGUCUCGUAGUGUAGUGGUUAUCACGUCGCCCUGUCACGGCGAAGAUCGCGGGUUCAAGUCCCGUCGAGACCG
rnacentral:tRNA from 8 species